CUUUUUUUUUUUUCUCUAUUUAUUAAUUUUUUUUUUAGCUGUUUUUCCCUUCUUCCUGUUUUGGGGGAUAUAUUUGAUAUAUAUAUUUUUUUUCUUUCCCUGACACGCUCAAAGGGGACUAUUUUCCCCAAGUGGCUUUAGAAAACCGGCAGGAGUCAUUCCCAAAAGAGCAUGCGACUUCUCUGCCAGUUUGUUGCCUUCCCCAGACGAACAACUCCACCUGCUGCACACCGACUCGGGGGCGAGGGAGGGGAAAAUUAUAAAAGAAAAAGAAAAAUCUUUUAAAGAACCUUUAAAGCCCCCAGGUGUACAGAGCCGAGAGGUCGGGGGAGCCGCCUGCAGCAUUGCAGUGUAAAACCAACAUGCCUUAAGCUUUGCUGUCCCAUGUGGGUGACUCUCACAGCACAGUGGCAUGCUGAGACCUUCACUUUCUGACCUGCAGAUGAACUUGUAACAUCGCUGCUUCUCUUGCUGCAGUAAGGCCAAGGAGGAUGGAGGGCAUGGCCAGCUCCAAGAGUCUUUCCUGAGUCUCCCCAAGGCAGGAAAAGAGCUUCAGUCCUAAAGAUUUGGGAUGUUACUGGCGUGGGAGCACUGCACCUCCAUCUCAUGCUUCUCAGCAACUGGAAGCACCUGGGCAGGCAGCUCUUACCUGGGCACGGUGGGAAGAAGACACCCCAAAAGGGUCAUCUUCGGAGCAGGUGCCCCCCAGAGAAGGAGAGGCUGAGUGGUCUUCAAGAUCGAGGAGCGUGUGGCAUUUCAGGCGAGAUGCAAAAUGACGUUCCUGUGAAAGCAGAAAUUCCAGCUGCCAAACCACAUGCUCCUCUACACAGUAAGGAGAAUCAAAACAUGUAUAUGCUCAUGGAGCAAAAUUGCUGUGUUUUCAUCCCAAUAAAUCUUCACACAGCCCAUAAAGAGGGAUGUGCCUCCCUCUGUGAGCACCCUUUAUUUCCUGCAACCAUGAAAUAA
rnacentral:lncRNA from 1 species